CCCUCCCGCCGCUUCCCGACAGGCCGCGCGCCGGGAGCGCCGGGCCGCAGCCUCGCGCCGGUUCCUGCCCUCGGGCAUCGUCCCUUCCCGUCCCGCCGGGCCCGCGCCCGCCCCCGCCAUGCGCCACAGCCUCACGCAGCUGCUGGCGGCCUCGGCCGGCGGGACCAGCCCCUCGGGUGCCGUGUGGCCGCUGCCCGGAGCGGGGCAGGCCCCGAGAGGGCGGGAUGUCGGCGGGGAGGGGGACCCGGGCCCCGCGCGGCCCAAGCCCCCGGGUGCCUCGGAGCCGCGGCGGCAGGAGAAGGAGGCCGAGGCGCCCAGCGGCCCGCUGGAGGUGUGGGAGCAAGAGGACUGGUUCCCGGGGCUGGAGCUGGGAGACCUGCUGGAGGCGGCCCGGCCGGACUGGGACCUGGAGGCGGAGCUGAGCGGCUGUUUCUGUGAGGAGCCGGAGCCGCUGCCCCCGCCGGGCCAGGGCUCGCGGCCCGCGGUGCCCGGGCGGCGGAGCGGCGGGGCCGGCAGCCGGCUGAAGGCGGCGGCGGCGGCGCGGCUGAACCGGCUGAAGAAGAAGCAGUACGUGCUAGGGCUGGAGAGCCGCCUGCAGGGCCUGGCUGCCGAGAACCGGCAGUUGCGGGACCGCAACCGCGGCCUGAGCCGCCGCCUGCGAGAGCUGGAGCGGGAGAGCAGCUACCUGCGGGCCGUGCUGGCGAACCAGAGCGCGCUGGGGCAGCUCCUGAGCCGCCUGGCCGGGACCCGCGCCGGCGGGCUGCAGCUCAGCACCAGCCUCUUCAGGGACACGGGCAGCCCCCGCCGCCAGCACCAGCACCUCCAGCCCGCUGGCGAGAGCAGCGACCACGACUACGCCCUGCCCAGCUCCCAGCCCCGCGGCCUGGAGGACGCGGCCGUGGGGACUGAGGCGGAGGAGGAGUGGGCGGCCCCCGGCGGGAUCUGCCUGCACGUGGACCGGGAUCAGGUGUCGGUGGAGUUCUGCUCCAUCUGUGCUCGGCGGGCGGCGGCCUCCUUCAAAAUUUUCUCUUUUAGGUGCUUGCCCUGCCAGGCUCCGUUGUGUAGGGGUUAAAGAACAGUCGUUUUCCACCUCGCAACCUGUGGAUUCAGCUGUGUUGGGGCAGAAGAGACGGGACCAGCUGCUGGCCACAUUUCCUGCUUUAUUUUAAAAGAGCUUUGCAGCAGGAAAAAACAAAUCAGUGCUUCUGCAAUCUGUAGAUGCCUGGAGAGAUGAUACCAGAGGAAGUGCAGGAAACCCUGUUCUAACACUUGGCAUCUCUUCGGACUUCCAGAUUAUCAGAGUUCUCAUGUAAUUUGUCAAAACUAUUAUCAGUUUUCCCUGUGAAACAGAAGAAUCUUCUGCAAAACACAAAGGCCUUUACAUUUACUGAUUUUUAAAUUCCGUGUUUUCUAGAGCUUUUAAAGAGGUUUUCUGCUGGAAUCAGCAAUAUUCUGGUUAUUUUUACUAUUUAUUAUUAGACUGUAAAAUGUCUGAAGGAUAUGUUAGGUAUGGGAGCUGUUCAAAUGGACUCAGUUUAAAGAACACCCUGUACCAAAAUUGCAUAUUGCCAGUUGCUGAUUCUACAGUUUUACGCCUGAAGUGGGAUAUGUGGAUGUGGGGAAAUAAUUUCUGUGGCGAAAUGAUUCUGUGCUCAUUAGCAGGAGGAUGCCAAGAGCAGGACUAGGGUGUGUACCAGGAAGAUGGGCACAUCAUUUGCAGAGGGCUGUGGAAUAGAUUGUAAAGUUGAUAUCCAGCAUCAAAAACGGAUGCAAUAAUCACUGAACCAGUCAUAGUCAUUCUUAAAGAUACUACUGCAAAAUAACACCUUUAUUUUAUGUUUUUUAUUAUUGCAUUUAAGUGGUUCUGUUGGUUAAAGUGAUGGCUUCUGGAGAUAUGACAAUUCAGUGUCAUGUAAAAUAAUUGCUCUGUGAGAAUCUCCAAAGUCAGGGUGGUUAAGGUAAGGCCAAGCUCUCUGUUUAGAUGCAGACCAGUAUGGGAACCCCAUAUGACACAGUAAUACUUUGAAUCAAGGGAAACUGAACUAUCUCUGUGUAAAAACAGGUAGUGUUUGCUGCUUCCCUGUACAAAUCAGGCUGCUACUCCUGGUUAUAGAGAAAUAGGGUGGGUGAUUUUCCUGCUGUAAUGACAGAUUAUUAAGGAAAAGGUAGAUAAACAUGAUGAAACUCCUUAAUACAUUUUUCAUCAGUGCUACAGCAUAACUUUUAACCCAAUUCAAUUAGUCUCAAUGCUGAAUUCUUUAAUUCUAAUUAAUAUUUCCACAUGCAUCUCAGGGGAUACUAGAAUUUUACUAAAGUGUACAUGAAUUGACCAGUAACUGUACAGCUUUUACAAUCACAGAAUCAUUUAGGUUGGAAAAGACGGAGUUCAACUUUUGACCAAUCACCAACUUCUCAACUAGACCACAGCACUGAGUGCCACAUCCAGUCAUUUCUUGAACACCUCCAGAGAUGGGGCCUCCCACCUCCCCCUGGGCCAUCCACUCCAAUGCUUAACAACGCCUUCUGUGAAGAAAUUCCUCCUGGCACUUUAUAUUGCUCUAGAACCAAUACAGUCACCAAUGUGAAGACAUGCCUGACUUGUAAAUGCAUUACUUUAGACCACUGAUCUUAGAACUUGAGGUAGCUGAGAUAUCACACCAGCCCUCAGAGGCCUCGACACACUUCCAUCCUUCAUGAAAAGAGUAAUUUCAAGGCAAAACAAGGAUAAAGUGUGCUCUGACUAGACUGUUUUUUGGUUGCUUGAUACAUAUGCUGGGAAGCCUGACACGAGUAUCACUCUGUGUGCUGUGUGAUAACAGUGUUCUCUUCAGUGUACAGUGGGAUCCUUAUAACAGCCUAAAGGAGGUAAUCUUGUGACAGAAAUUUUGUGCUAGCAGAAUGGAGAAAAGGGAGAAGAAUACUCAGAUUUUGAGGAAUAUCUAGAAAACCCUUGCCAUGAUCCCCCCUUAAAAAAAAAAAAAAAUCUCAGUAGUUUGCAUUAUGAAGAAAAAGCCUCCUUUUUCAAGAAUACUCAUUUUAAGAGCUUCUAAAACAUGUAGCAUCACCUUAGAGCCAAACACUAAGCAGGCAGUAUAAAUGCUUUUUCCCCCCUCCAUGUCCAAACAAACACACCUGUCUAUAAUGCUGUUAUUCAGAUGUAUACUUUAAGCUGGGCAUAACAAAAAACUUAACCUGCAUUUAAGUUCAAAACUUGAAAAAUGUCAGUGCAGAGUCUUUGUUUUUCUAUUAAAAGAAAGACACAAAGCAACAACUUCUUUUCCUUGUUUAUUAUGGUUACUUAUCCAAGGCAACUGAAAAGUUAUUUUAGCUCUUCAGGAUCCCUGCUAAGGUGCAUCUGCUGUAGUAUUUUGAUAUAUAUUCCGUGCUGUUUAGUGGCAAGAUAUAAUCCAGUUAGACACUGUACCAGUAUACCCAGACUCAUCUUUCUAAAGACAGGCUGAGUGAUUGUGAGCCAGUAGCGUACUGCGUUUUCUUUCCCUGGCAAGGGAGAUGACAUGUACCUAAACAACAUAAACAGCGGUAGAAACUUACUUCUUUUUGCCAGGCAAGUGUCAAGAUUUAACAUUAUAAAUAUUUAGGUAGAUAGUCAUUUUCUCCUUCUUCUCCUAAGUUAAAUUCACCUGGUGGUACUGAGCUCUCUGGAUAAAUGCUAUAAAACAUCCUGACCCUGUACUGAGUCUUGCCAAGCCUCGCUGUGCUCUGAAUUACAAAGAACGACACCUGCCAGGGAGUUUGGCUGCCAGGCACUGCCCAGGGUCACUGAGGUCUCUCAGCUGUCCAGCCAUCUUCACUGCUUGGCAAGAUGGCAGCCACCACUGCCCACAGCCAGGCACAUCCAGGGUGGCUUGUAGGGUUCCAGUUAAAUACAAAGUGCUUCACAGUGGAUUGCUCUGCAGAUCUUGUUUCAUUUUGGAGGCUUGGUGUAGCUCUUACAAACUUCACCUUGUAAUUAGAUGACCUUAAUAUAAAUCCCCUCCCCAUGUACUACGUGCCUACAGGAAGACAGGUGUGCACAGACUUAAAUUCCACAGAAUUUACUCUGAGAAUGGCAGAUUUAACCAAUAAAUACAUUUCACUCAUUACAGGUUAAUAAGACAUACCUGGCUGCAAGGCUUGCGUUCAAGGGGAGAGCCAGGAAAGCAGGAUAGAGAGCACCCACAACAGCUCCCACUAAUCCUCCUCUGACCACAGCACAGACCUCACAGUUCAGCUGACCUG